rnacentral:rRNA from 1 species
AGAGUUUGAUCCUGGCUCAGAUUGAACGCUGGCGGCAGGCCUAACACAUGCAAGUCGAGCGGAUGAGUGGAGCUUGCUCCAUGAUUCAGCGGCGGACGGGUGAGUAAUGCCUAGGAAUCUGCCUAUUAGUGGGGGACAACGUUUCGAAAGGAACGCUAAUACCGCGUACGUCCUACGGGAGAAAGCAGGGGACCUUCGGGCCUUGCGCUAAUAGAUGAGCCUAGGUCGGAUUAGCUAGUUGGUGAGGUAAUGGCUCACCAAGGCGACGAUCCGUAACUGGUCUGAGAGGAUGAUCAGUCACACUGGAACUGAGACACGGUCCAGACUCCUACGGGAGGCAGCAGUGGGGAAUAUUGGACAAUGGGCGAAAGCCUGAUCCAGCCAUGCCGCGUGUGUGAAGAAGGUCUUCGGAUUGUAAAGCACUUUAAGUUGGGAGGAAGGGCAUUAACCUAAUACGUUAGUGUUUUGACGUUACCGACAGAAUAAGCACCGGCUAACUUCGUGCCAGCAGCCGCGGUAAUACGAAGGGUGCAAGCGCUAAUCGGAAUUACUGGGCGUAAAGCGCGCGUAGGUGGUUUGUUAAGUUGGAUGUGAAAGCCCCGGGCUCAACCUGGGAACUGCAUCCAAAACUGGCAAGCUAGAGUAUGGCAGAGGGUGGUGGAAUUUCCUGUGUAGCGGUGAAAUGCGUAGAUAUAGGAAGGAACACCAGUGGCGAAGCGACCACCUGGGCUAAUACUGACACUGAGUGCGAAAGCGUGGGGAGCAAACAGGAUUAGAUACCCUGGUAGUCCACGCCGUAACGAUGUCGACUAGCCGUUGGGAUCCUUGAGAUCUUAGUGGCGCAGCUACGCAUUAAGUCGACCGCCUGGGGGAGUACGGCCGCAAGGU